rnacentral:misc_RNA from 2 species
AGCAGCCGCGGUAAUUCCAGCUCCAAUAGCGUAUAUUAAAGUUGUUGCAGUUAAAAAAGCUCGUAGUUGAAUUUCGGGAUCAGUAUGUUGGUCGUGCUUCGGUACGUACUGUCAUUACUGGUUUCUACCUUCUGAAGAACCUUGAUGUCAUUAAUUUGGUGUCUUGGGGGAAUCAGGACUGUUACUUUGAAAAAAUUAGAGUGUUUAAAGCAAGCAUACGCUUGAAUACAUUAGCAUGGAAUAAUGAAAUAGGACGUUUGAUUCUAUUUUGUUGGUUUCUAGGAUCGACGUAAUGAUUAAUAGGGAUAGUUGGGGGGCAUUAGUAUUCAAUUGUCAGAGGUGAAAUUCUUGGAUUUAUUGAAGACUAACUACUGCGAAAGCAUUUGCCAAGGAUGUUUUCAUUAAUCAAGAACGAAAGUUAGGGGAUCGAAGACGAUCAGAUACCGUCGUAGUCUUAACCAUAAACUAUGCCGACUAGGGAUCGGAUGAUGUUAUUUUUUAAUGACUCAUUCGGCGCCUU